GACGAACGCUGGCGGCGUGCUUAACACAUGCAAGUCGAACGGAAAGGCCCUGCUUUUGUGGGGUGCUCGAGUGGCGAACGGGUGAGUAACACGUGAGUAACCUGCCCUUGACUUUGGGAUAACUUCAGGAAACUGUGGCUAAUACCGGAUAGUAGCUCCUGCUGCAUGGUGUGGGUUGGAAAGUUUCGGCGGUUGGGGAAGGACUCGCGGCUAAUCAGCUUGUUGGUGUGGUAGUGGUUUACCAAUGCUUUGACGAGUAGCCGGCAUGAGAGGGAGACCGGACACAGAGGAACAGAGAUACGGGCAGGAGUCAAACGGGAGCAAGGAGUGGGGAAUUGUGCGAGAAGGGCGGAAGCAGGAAGCAAGAAUGCCGCGUGCGAGAGGACGGUCUUAGGGUUGUAAACAGCGUUAGCCUGGAACGAAGAGUGAGUGACGGUAAUGGAUCAAGAAGCGCCGGCUAACUACGUG
rnacentral:rRNA from 1 species